CUCUACUUCAGAAUCUAAUUAGCUUUCUAGAUAAGGCUUAGGCUGAAGUUUGUUUCUCCAGUCUCUGGGGAAUUAAACACCACAUAAAUUCCUCCAAGACAGAGAAGGCAGAGGGAACAGAAAAGAUUGCAAAUUGUGGUUUAUAUGUUGAAGGAAGAAACCAGAAACUAUUUAAUGGAAAACAAGGAUAGAAGCAAAUGUGAAAUCUAGAUAAAAAUAGAAAAAACCAACUUGCUGUUUAGGUUUAAUUGUCUGUGAGGAUAAGAUAAUCUCCUGACAAAAGUCCUGUAGGCUUGGGGGGAAAAGCUAGAAAAAUCUCAGGGAAGAGUACUGAAAAUGAUCAUCAGCAUGGAAUAUUUUCCAUACAAGGAGAGGCUAAAUAGAAGUGCGCCCCUUGGAAAGCAGAGGACUAAAUCACAGAGGUGUACAAAAUAUAUAAAUUAUGCUCCACACAUGGCAUGGAAGAGGUAAGUGAGGAACUGUAGCCAUUAUUUCUUACUGUACAAGCACACCAUGAAAUCAUCAGCAGGUCCUGAACAAACAGAAGGAAGUAUUUCUGCAAGCAGUCUAUAAUUAAAUUGUGGAACUCAUUGCUACAGGAUGCCAUGGAAGCUGAAAGCAUAAAUGAAUUAAAAAUGAGAUUAGACAAAUUUAUGGAUUUGCCUCCAUCAAAGGCUGUUAAACAGAAGGAUGUGGUUUCAAUAUCUGACUCAGGAAAUCUUUCAGCAAAGAUUGCAGGAAAUCUGCAAGGAUAUGUUGAGGAAGGAGAGCAGAGGAUUUUCAGUCCUUGUGAAAGGGAUCAUUUGGCACCUGAUUUUCCCCUGUGCACAUUCUCUAAACAGCUGAAACUGGAUUGUCUCAGACACAGGAUGCUGAACAAUCCUUUGGCUUGACUCAUUAUGACUCUUUAUAAUUCUUACUUUAUUUCAUUUCUCCUUUCCCUUUAUCUGCCUUCAGUUUUUAUGACCAAGCCAUUGGAUGAACAAAGUCUCUCAGUAGCAGAGGCAGCUGCUGUCUGACCAGACUUCACAACCCUUUUUGACUUCUGGGGUUGUUGGACAGUUUUAGCUGUGUCUUGUCUUAAUGCUCAGCACCUGGAAAAAGCAGGGAGGAUUUUCAAUUAACUCCUGGGUGCAUGAGCCAUAGAAUUAAUUUCCUUUGAUGCACACUGGAAGUUUUUUGAAGACUCUGCUAGGCAAGACUGGGCAAACGUCUGAGGCACACCAUGGACUGAAGGCACAGCUCUAACUGCUGGGGAUGACUGUGAGCUGAGCUGGGCUAAAAAAAAUCUAAUGAAUUUCCAUUAUCUAAAAGAGCACUUAAAAGCACAACUAAAAAAAAUGUGCAAACAAUCCAGCACUGGAACAGGAUGCAAACACCAGUCAGGAGAAAAAAAAUUGAGCAACUAGGAAAUGGAAUCUGGAAAUUAGUUGUAAAAAAUUACCUCCUUUGUAAGCUGAUACAUCUGGGAAUCACUCUCCCUUUCCUCUUCCCCAUAUUCCUAUUCUCAAGGGGAGGCAGGAAUGUAAGUAGGUGCAUAAAAAGCAGAGGUUAAGUGCACAGCAGCAGGGAAGUGAAAUGACAGUGAUAUAU